rnacentral:rRNA from 1 species
AUUGAACGCUAGCGGGAUGCCUUACACAUGCAAGUCGAACGAGUGGCAGGGGGGUGAGUAGUAUAUCGGACCGUGCGCAGUAGCGGGGGAUAACUACUAGAAAGAGUGUCUAAUACCACAAACUAUUGUAGACGCCGAUAUCGGAUUAGCUAGUUGGAGGUGUAAAGGCUCACCAAGGAAACGAUCCGUCGCUGGUUUGAGAGGACGACCAGCCACACUGGGACUGAGACACGGCCCAGAAUCCGACGGGAGGCAGCAGUGGGGAAUGUUGGAAAAUGGGGGAAACCCUGAUCCAGCCAUCCCGCGUGUAUGAGAAGGCCUUCGGGUUGUAAAGUACUUUUGGUAGAGAAGCGUUAUCUACAGAAUAAGCACCGGCUAACUACGUGCCAGCAGCCGCGGUAAUAC